UGAAACGUAUAGAAACUUUUGUUAUCUCUAUAAUUUAUUAUUAUCAUUAUUUAUCUGAAAUGUAAGUUACUAUUAAUCAAAAUGGUUAAAGAAAUGAAUAUAAAAGUGUCAGAUUUAAAUUGAAACAUUUAAUACAAAGAAAAUAUGUUCGAGAAAGAUUAAAGUAAUGCAUUUUACUUUUGUUAACAAAAUUUCAUAAAAAUACUACUAAAAUGAGUAGUAUUAAACUCGAUGUACAGUGGUCUCCAGUUCAUGCUAAUAAAUUUAUUACAUGGGGUACAGAAAUUUGUUUAUAUGAAGUUAUGCAAAUAAAAGAAAAUAAUAGACAAUUAUAUAAGAUUUCUGAUUCUACAGUUGCUCAUUUACUUGCAACGAAUACCAAUCAUCAUUAUGUUAAAUGUAUUGAUAUAUAUCCACAAUUGGAACCUGAUAUACUAUUAGCUGUUGGUCAAGCAAAUGGAAAAGUUGUUUUAACUACUUUUGCUCCAACAAUCUUUGAUUCUCAAGGUCUCAGUGGAAAAGAACUAGUUCCAAAACAUGCCAGACAGUGUAACGCAGUUGCUUGGAAUCCAAUAGAUACAAAUUUGAUUGUGUCUGGUUUAGAUAAACAUAGUAAAGAUCAUUCCAUUUUAUUAUGGGAUAUAAACAAGGGUUUACAUACUUCUGAAAGAAUACAUCAUCAUAAUACAGUACAGACAGAUUCAGUGAGACCUAUAACAGAAGUUGGUGUUUCUGAAACUGUACAUUCCAUUGCUUGGUUUAAAAAUGAACAAAAAUGUAUGGUAGUUGGCACUAAUAACAAACAAUUAAAAAUCAUUGAUUUUAGAGAUUCUGCAAAAGUAAUCAACACAACAGCUACUAAAGCAGUUUAUAAUGUAUCAGUGAAUCCACACAAUAAUUAUCAUUUACUUUCAAGUGUUGAUAAUCAAAUAACAAUUUGGGACACAAGAUGCUUUGAAAAACCUGUUUUAACAUUAUCGCAAAGUAGACAAAUUACGAAGGUUUUAUGGUGUCCAACUAGACACAAUCUUCUAGGUGCUUUACAAAAAGAUUCAGUGACACUACAUUUAUAUGACAUUCAACACUGUGGAAUUGGAGGAGGAGAAGAUACAGAACCUGGAGCAUUGGAAAGAACAGUUGCGCCACCUUGGCAUAGUCCUGUAAGUUUUUCGUGGCAUCCAACACAUGUGAAUAGAUUGUUGGCAAUAUCUCAACAAGGACUUACAGAUUAUACAGUUUGUGAAAGAAUUACAGUAAAUUGGUCAACACGGUCUCAUCUUGUUUGGAAUCAUGCUUCCAAAUCAUUUAAAUAUAUAUGUAGUAAUGAUAAUAUUUAUAAAGCUCUGAAUGAUAUUUCUAUUCUAACUAAAACACGUGCUACUUCAGAAUAUGGUUUACUUCCAGAGCUGGCUCAGAAUGGAGAAUUAGCAGAAAAUGAUACUCUUAAAAAUUUAUGGCAAUGGCUGUACUUAAGUCGCUAUUUGGUAGAAGAUGGUACUAUACCAUGUACAGAUAAUAAACAUCCAGGUGUUAGAACAGUUUUAAAGUUAGAUGGACAAGGAUCUAAUAAUGGUUUUUUAAAAUCGGAACUAAUUCAUCGUCCUUGGUCGGAUAUAGGAUCUAAUCAUACUGCAAAAAUUUAUAGAUCUCCAGACAGAGAUAAAGGAUUACUUUUAUGUGGUUGGAGAUUUGAUAAAGACACCAAUAGCCUUUAUGAUAAUUUAUUUUUAGAAAGAUUAGAAAGAGAAGGUGCAUAUCCAAGAGCAGCAGCAAUAGCAGUUUUUAAUUUAUGUUUACGGCAAGCAAUAGAAAUUCUAAAUCGAGGAGCUACUAAAAUGUCAAUGUCUACAAAUUUAAAUAUUGUUGCUAUGGCUUUAUCAGGAUUCUCCGAAGAUAGAAAUAGUAUGUGGAGAGAAUCAUGUUUAAAGUGUAGAUCUCAACUCUCAGAUCCUUAUUUGAGAGCAACUUUUGCUUUUUUAACAGCAGAUGAUUCAUAUGAAAAUGUUUUAAAUGAAAGUGGUAUGGCAGUUGAAGAUAGAGUAGCAUUUGCUCUUAUGUUUUUAUCAGAUAAUAAAUUAAGUGAAUAUUUAAAAAAAUUAACUCAAAAAUUGACUGAUGAAGGAAACUUAGCUGGUUUUCUUUUAACAGGUGCCAGUUUAGAAGGUAUACAAUUAUUAAAUCGAUAUUUAGAAAUUACUGGUGAUGUUCAAAGUUGUAGUUUGAUAGCUAUAAGAGCAUUUACACCAACAUUGCUCCAAGAGAAUCAAGUUCAAGUUUGGAUUACUAGUUAUAGAAAUUUAUUAAAUGCAUGGAAAAUGUGGACCCAAAGAGCUCAUUUUGAUAUUGCCAUGCGUUCUUCAACAAAUGAAAAACCUCCUCAACAGAUAUAUGUUUCUUGUAAUUUUUGUGGUAAAAGUAUAUCAGCUUUCAUGCAGGGUUUGAGUAGAGCAAGAGGACCUUUUGGUAGAUUAGGAAGUACACCCAAUAAAUUAAAGAUGUCUUCAUGUCCAAAUUGUAGAAAACCAUUACCACGAUGUGCAAUUUGUUUAAUGCAUAUGGGUACAGUGAGUGGAUUGCAAAUGACAACAUCUGGAGUUAGUAGAAGUGAUGAAUGUGAUAAUAAAUUGACAGAAUUCAGUAAUUGGUUUACAUGGUGUCAAACGUGUAGACAUGGUGGUCAUGCUGAUCAUAUUACACAUUGGUUUCGGUAAUAUACUUUAAAAUUAUGUACAUAUUUUUACUUUUUUGUAUACAUUUUAUCUUUUGUAACAAUAUCUCACUUUGUUUAUAUAGACAACAUUCAGAAUGUCCAGUGACUUCAUGUACAUGCAGAUGUUUUUCUUUAGAUGCAUCGUGUAAAAUAGCAUUUUAGGACAUUAUAUAUUUCUUGGAA
rnacentral:misc_RNA from 1 species